UUCUACAGAGGAUCGUUUGGUAUUCAAGGCCAGGGUACAAGAGCUGAUCGAUCAAAAGAUCUUGUCCUUCUCUGAGGCAGGACCCAAUGUCAGAACUAACCCGUUACCAGAUCACUGUAGACUGAUAGUGAAUGCAGUUAUUGGUGAAGAUUGCUCGGAUUAUGUUACCUCUUUAGAGGAGUAUCAAGGCUAGUCAUAUCAAUAAUAACA
rnacentral:lncRNA from 1 species